CGACGAUCAGUAGCGGGUCUGAGAGGAUGAUCCGCCACACUGGGACUGAGACACGGCCCAGACUCCUACGGGAGGCAGCAGUGGGGAAUUUUGGACAAUGGGGGAAACCCUGAUCCAGCCAUUCCGCGUGAGUGAAGAAGGCCUUCGGGUUGUAAAGCUCUUUCAGCCGGAACGAAACGGUACGCUCUAACAUAGCGUGCUAAUGACGGUACCGGCAGAAGAAGCACCGGCUAACUACGUGCCAGCAGCCGCGGUAAUACGUAGGGUGCGAGCGUUAAUCGGAAUUACUGGGCGUAAAGCGUGCGCAGGCGGUUUUGUAAGUCAGAUGUGAAAGCCCCGGGCUUAACCUGGGAAUGGCGUUUGAAACUACAAGGCUAGAGUGUGUCAGAGGGGGGUGGAAUUCCACGUGUAGCAGUGAAAUGCGUAGAUAUGUGGAGGAACACCAAUGGCGAAGGCAGCCCCCUGGGAUGACACUGACGCUCAUGUACGAAAGCGUGGGUAGCAAACAGGAUUAGAUACCCUGGUAGUCCACGCCCUAAACGAUGUCAACUGGUUGUUGGGGGAGUGAGAUCCCUUAGUAACGAAGCUAACGCGUGAAGUUGACCGCCUGGGGAGUACGGUCGCAAGAUUAAAACUUAAAGGAAUUGACGG
rnacentral:rRNA from 1 species